AUUUUUUAUUUUUAAUUUAUUUUUUAAUAUUUUUUUAUUUUUAAUAAUUUUUUUAUGAAUAAAUAUAUAUUAAAAAAUAUAAUUAAUUAAAAUCAAUGAAUGUCAUGCUCUGAAUGUUUCUUCUUACAAAUAUCUGCAAGUAUAACAAAAUACGGUAGUUUAAUAAUUAUUAAAAAAUAUUAUAUAUAAAUUUAAAAAAAUUUCAAUAAUAAUUUUAAAACUUAUAAAUUCAAAAAAAUAUGUUAUAUACUUCAAAUAAUAUUUUUGAAUUAACUAAAAUAUAAUACU
rnacentral:lncRNA from 1 species